UCUCUAGGUUUGGAAUGCACAAUGAUGAGACACAAAAACAUAAACAUCUCCAGAAAGAAGCUAUGACUGGAACACAGAGGACUACUAGAUUAAGUGGAAACAAUGCCCAGGCAUCCCAGUGCCCCCACUGAUGGUCCAGCUAUCAUCAAGAUGGUGACGAGUUACAUAUGACCUGGAGGAGGACUGUGCAGAGUACCUUCUAGCACCAUAAACACUAAUCAGUGAGCAAUGCUGAACUUCUAAUUAGGCAAGAGCUCAACCUCUUCAUGCUUGAGGACAUAAAGUUCAGGAUCAAGCUCAGAAGCUCACAGCUGCCAGCAGCACACUACUACUGCACUGUCUCCUUAGUCCAUGCUCACUCUUAAAUAGCCACAAAACACUCAGUGGUAUGGCAAAGGAAACCUCCAUUUCAUUUAGAUGUUUAUGAUAAUUUUUCCCACUUUAAUUAUUUUAUGUAGUUGAAUAUGAUUUUUUUUCCUAAGGAAUUUUUUUAUCUCAAUGUAAGACUCUUGAACCUUUAUGUUAUAUAUAAUUUCCUGUAGUUUUCAAAAUUGCUUUAAUAAAAAAGUUUAACUUUAAAA
rnacentral:lncRNA from 1 species